rnacentral:rRNA from 1 species
UGGGGAAUAUUGCACAAUGGGCGCAAGCCUGAUGCAGCAACGCCGCGUGAGGGAUGACGGCCUUCGGGUUGUAAACCUCUUUUAGUAGGGAAGAAGCGAAAGUGAUGGUACCUGCAGAAAAAGCACCGGCUAACUACGUGCCAGCAGCCGCGGUAAUACGUAGGGUGCGAGCGUUGUCCGGAAUUAUUGGGCGUAAAGAGCUCGUAGGCGGUCUGUCGCGUCUGCUGUGAAAACCCGAGGCUCAACCUCGGGCCUGCAGUGGGUACGGGCAGACUAGAGUGCGGUAGGGGAGAAUGGAAUUCCUGGUGUAGCGGUGGAAUGCGCAGAUAUCAGGAGGAACACCGAUGGCGAAGGCAGUUCUCUGGGCCGUAACUGACGCUGAGGAGCGAAAGCGUGGGGAGCGAACAGGAUUAGAUACCCUGGUAGUCCACGCCGUAAACGUUGGGCGCUAGAUGUGGGGACCAUUCCACGGUUUCCGUGUCGCAGCUAACGCAUUAAGCGCCCCGCCUGGGGAGUACGGCCGCAAGGCUAAAACUCAAAUGAAUUGACGGGGUCAUAGCUG